rnacentral:rRNA from 1 species
AUUGAACGUUGGCGGAAUGCUCUACACAUGCAAGUCGAACGGCAGCACGGGGGCAGCCCUGGUGGCGAGUGGCGAACGGGUGAGUAAUACAUCGGAACGUGCCCGGUCGUGGGGGAUAACGUAGCGAAAGUUACGCUAAUACCGCAUACGAUCUGAGGAUGAAAGCGGGGGACCUUCGGGCCUCGCGCGAUCGUAGCGGCCGAUGUCAGAUUAGGUAGUUGGUGGGGUAAAGGCCUACCAAGCCGACGAUCUGUAGCUGGUCUGAGAGGACGACCAGCCACACUGGGACUGAGACACGGCCCAGACUCCUACGGGAGGCAGCAGUGGGGAAUUUUGGACAAUGGGCGCAAGCCUGAUCCAGCCAUUCCGCGUGCAGGACGAAGGCCUUCGGGUUGUAAACUGCUUUUGUACGGAACGAAAAGGCUCUGGCUAAUACCUGGGGCUCAUGACGGUACCGGAAGAAUAAGCACCGGCUAACUACGUG